AUGCUGUCCCAAUUUUGCACAAGAAUAGAAAACCACCAACCUGCAUCAAGAAAGCAAGAAGAAGUGAACAAAAACAAUUUCAACCCUUCUAUUUCAACGCACAGCAUAAUCCCUCAUCUGGAAAUUCCCCUUCAAAAAAACAAAACAAACACAAUUCCGCUUUCCUGCCAUCUCCCUCUGUUAUGUUCAUCUUCCACGAAGUUCUCCACAAACCAGCCAUCAUCUCCAUUACAUACUCAACUAACCUUCACUCCAAACACUCCAUACCCCCUCAUAAACCAGAAAUCUUCAUCACCUUUUUAA